GCACUUGUCAUGGUCACAUAUUUAUAAUAAAGUGUGAACGUUAUUGGUUUGAGGGUUAGAACCAGCAGCUUUGUUGUCAGUCAUGUCCUGGGUGAAGUAGCUAACGUUAACACUUAAGCGGGGCUCCGCCGGUGCUGAUGACGAGCUAAGCUAAGCUAACCAGCUAAUAAGUUAACCAGCUAUGCUAACCGGCUUGGGAGCCAGACUGGAAUGCUGCUAGCUAACGUUACUGUCUGUCUUGUACGAGUUUUCUUGUGGCUUGCUGUGUAAUGCAGUACAACGCUCACUGCGUGAUUUGUUAUUAUCAAAAGACACCGGCACGUCCUCUUAAACUAUGGUGUUGUUAAUAAGUUGUUGCUUACAAAAGUCUGUCAGGAAGAGGAGUUUACGCGGCCUGCCCUCCGCUGGCCGGCAGAGCCCGACAUAACCGAAGCAGCAGCAGCAGCCCACCGUGUGGGAAGCUGCCUCGGCCAGCGCCUCUAACAGACCAACAAUAGCUGGACAGCAGCACAAGUCUUUGGCUAAACUACAUCACGUCUGUUUUCCGAUGAAAAUGAUGAUUCACUUCCUCUCCAGUAUGUUGAGGGAGAAGUAUGCCUGUGUGGGACAAGGUUACAGUAAGCUGCCGUCACUAGCGGUUAUCACGGAGCCAACCGGCCUUUCUGUCAGCUUGUAAAGGUGCUGGCUA